rnacentral:lncRNA from 1 species
CUUCAGUACGUCAAACUGGCUGGAGUGGUUGCUACCUUUGAUAUUCCUCUGCUGCUGCUAGUGCUUCCUUCCCCCACAUCCUGACACUCAAGCUCUGAGAGGCAUGAGGACAGAACUUGCUAUUGGAGGACAGAAUCUUAAUGAAAAACAGAAGGUUGCCCAAAGCCUGUAUGACAACUUUUCCUUUUUCUCUUCCUAUCAAUAAAAAAAAAAAAAAAUAGGAACAACAAGCAUUCUUCUAUGUAAAUGAAUCAAAAAAGGAAAGAACACAAAAAGCAAUUCAGACAUCAAAGACACAAAGCUUCAGUGAGGAUGUUGCACUGGUCACAGAUAAAAUGUAUGAACACAACUGAUAAUUUCACUGGAAAUUGCAGCUAUCCACAUUUCUUCAAAAUGUGACCUUCCUUUUACCCCAGUUCUCUGCAAUUGUUUGGAAAAUCAAUGGCAAGUUUACAAUAACCAGCAUGAAGCUUUACACACUGUGGAGAAGAAAACAUUUUGAUAAGCAAAUGGAUUUCAAUGUCAGCCUUCUAAGCAGUUGCUACAGACAAAUGAUUUGAAAGAUUAUUGAAAAUAUACUGUCUUUUUAGAAAGUUACUUUUCUUCCCAUGCAAGGCACAGGAAAUCGAAUCAGCUGCAGUACUGAAUCAACUGUACUGUCAUUGAAAUGUGUGAUCCUGUAGUAAAAUAAAAUCAGUGUCCAACUGUUCA